AUGGCUCAGGACGAACGCUGGCGGCACGCUUAACACAUGCAAGUCGAACGGAGUUAUCGAGAGCUUGCUUUGAUAACUAGUGGCGGACGGGUGAGUAACACGUGAGCAAUCUGCCCUUAAGAGGGGGAUAGCAGUUGGAAACGACUGAUAAUACCGCAUAAGAUAGUAGUACCGCAUGGUACAGCUAUAAAAGAUUUAUCGCUUAAGGAUGAGCUCGCGUCUGAUUAGCUAGUUGGUGAGGUAACGGCUCACCAAGGCAACGAUCAGUAGCCGGACUGAGAGGUUGGACGGCCACAUUGGGACUGAGACACGGCCCAGACUCCUACGGGAGGCAGCAGUGGGGAAUAUUGCACAAUGGAGGGAACUCUGAUGCAGCGAUGCCGCGUGAGGGAAGAAGGUUUUAGGAUUGUAAACCUCUGUUGACAGGGACGAUAAUGACGGUACCUGUUGAGGAAGCUCCGGCUAACUACGUGCCAGCCGCAGC
rnacentral:rRNA from 1 species